AUUGAACGCUGGCGGAAUGCUUUACACAUGCAAGUCGAGCGGCAGCGCGGCCUUCGGGCUGGCGGCGGGCGGCGAACGGGUGAGUAAUGCAUCGGAACAUGCCCAGUCGUGGGGGAUAACACUUCGAAAGAAGUGCUAAUACCGCAUACGUGCUGCGGGGGAAAGCGGGGGAUCGCAAGACCUCGCGCGAUUGGAGUGGCCGAUGUCAGAUUAGCCAGUUGGUGGGGUAAAGGCCUACCAAGCCGACGAUCCGUAGCUGGUCUGAGAGGAUGAUCAGCCACACUGGGACUGCGACACGGCCCAGUCUCCUACGGGAGGCAGCAGUGGGGAAUGUUGGACAAUGGGGGCAACCCUGACCCAGCCAUUCCGCGUGUGUGAAGAAGGCCUUCGGGUUGUAAAGCUCUUUCGGCAGGAACGAAACGGUGUGCUCUAACAUAGUCCGCUAAUGACGGUACCUGAAGAAGAAGCACCGGCUAACUACGUG
rnacentral:rRNA from 1 species